rnacentral:rRNA from 1 species
CCUACGGGGUGCAGCAGUGAGGAAUAUUGGUCAAUGGACGAGAGUCUGAACCAGCCAAGUAGCGUGAAGGAUGACUGCCCUAUGGGUUGUAAACUUCUUUUAUAUGGGAAUAAAAUGUUCCACGUGUGGGAUUUUGUAUGUACCCUAUGAAUAAGGAUCGGCUAACUCCGUGCCAGCAGCCGCGGUAAUACGGAGGAUCCGAGCGUUAUCCGGAUUUAUUGGGUUUAAAGGGAGCGUAGGUGGGUUGUUAAGUCAGUUGUGAAAGUUUGCGGCUUAACCGGAAAAUUGCAGUUGAAACUGGCAGUCUUGAGUACAGUAGAGGUGGGCGGAAUUCGUGGUGUAGCGGUGAAAUGCUUAGAUAUCACGAAGAACUCCGAUUGCGAAGGCAGUUCACUGGACUGCAACUGACACUGAGGCUCGAAAGUGUGGGUAUCAAACAGGAUUAGAUACCCGAGUAGUC